rnacentral:rRNA from 1 species
AGUGAACGCUGGCGGUAGGCCUAACACAUGCAAGUCGAACGGCAGCACAGGAGAGCUUGCUCUCUGGGUGGCGAGUGGCGGACGGGUGAGGAAUACAUCGGAAUCUACUCUGUCGAGGGGGAUAACGUAGGGAAACUUACGCUAAUACCGCAUACGACCUACGGGUGAAAGCAGGGGACCUUCGGGCCUUGCGCGAUUGAAUGAGCCGAUGUCGGAUUAGCUAGUUGGCGGGGUAAAGGCCCACCAAGGCGACGAUCCGUAGCUGGUCUGAGAGGAUGAUCAGCCACACUGGAACUGAGACACGGUCCAGCCUCCUACGGGAGGCGGCAGUGGGGAAUAUUGGACAAUGGGCGCAAGCCUGAUCCAGCCAUACCGCGUGGGUGAAGAAGGCCUUCGGGUUGUAAAGCCCUUUUGUUGGGAAAGAAAUCCAGCUGGCUAAUACCCGGUUGGGAUGACGGUACCCAAAGAAUAAGCACCGGCUAACUUCGUGCCAGCCGCCGCCGUAA